rnacentral:rRNA from 1 species
UACAGAGGUCUCAAGCGUUUGUUCGGAUUCAUUGGGCGUAAAGGGUGCGUAGGCGGCGCGGUAAGUCGGGUGUGAAAUCUCGGGGCUUAACUCCGAAACUGCAUUCGAUACUGCCGUGCUUGAGGACUGGAGAGGAGACUGGAAUUUACGGUGUAGAGGUGAAAUUCGUAGAUAUUGGGAAGAACACCAGUGGCGAAGGCGGCUAACUGGUCCAGCACUGACGCUGAGGUGGCGAAAAGCGUGGGGAGCAAACAGG